AGAAGUAGAGUGGUUGUCCAGGUUGUUCAAUGUGAUCUUUAGGACUAAGAGGAUGCCGGAAGUGGAGAUGGAGUACAGUGGUGCCCUUGUACAAAAACAAAGGGGAUAUCCAGUGUUGCAACAGCUAUAGGGGUAUCAAAUUAAUAAGUCACACCAUGAAAGUCUGGGAGAGGGAGGUCGAGGCGAGGGUAAGGGAGAUGUCAUCUAUAUCCGUGAACCAGUUCGAUUUCAUGCCGGGUCGCUCUACUACAGAAGCUAUCCACCUUGUGAGGAGAUUGGUGGAACAGUUUCAUCUAUAUCCGUGAACCAAUUCGGUUUCAUGCUGGGUCGCUCUACUACAAAAGCUAUUCACCUUGUGAGGAGAUUGGUGGAACAGUUCAGGUAUAAGAAGAAGGACCUGCACAUGGUGUUUAUCGACUUGGAGAAGGCGUACGAUAAGGUCCCUAGAGAGGUGCUAUGGAGAUGCUUGGAGGCGAAGAGCGUGCCAAAAGCCUACAUUAGAGUGAUCAAGGACAUGCAUGAUAGAGCUAAGACUAGGGUUAGGACUGUGGGUGGCGACUCAGACCAUUUUCCGGUGGUUAUGGGGCUACAUCAAGGAUCUUCGCUAAGCCCUCUCUUAUUUUCCUUGGUGAUGGAUGCUCUAACUCGCCAUAUUCAAGGGGAUGU
rnacentral:lncRNA from 1 species